AGAAACUUAGGAUAAUCGCUAAACCAAAGGCCUUCAAAGCCUCAAAUAAGAGUUAAAUCCUCUUAGUUUCUG
rnacentral:tRNA from 1 species